GUGUCUGUGGCCGAGUGGUUAAGGCGGCAGAUUUAAGCCUAUAUCAAAGGAAUCUCUGCUGGGCUCACGCCCUCAAGGGUUCGAACCCCUUCGGACACA